AACCUUACUGGCUUUUGAAUUUUGCUUUCAUUUGGCCCUUGGGACAUCAAGAGGUUAACUGACUCCAUCUGCCAACCAAUGGUCUCCCUGAGGGCAAAGCCUACCAAAACUCAAUAUCUCAGGCUUGACUUCAAGGACUGUGGUUAAGGUUCCCUGGCUGGACCCCACUCGUGGCCUGCUGGACAGGUCAAAUUGGAGCCCAAUGAUCUGACUUGAAAACCCUAAGUUACCCAGGCAUGCUGCUUCACCCAGUGAGUCAGGCCUACCCGUGAUCACUGCGACACUGUACCCAAGGGGAGAAAUCACUGGCUCCCAUAGUUUGGUACAGCUCAACUCUGCUGUGAGACAGAAUGCCAGAGAUCACCACAACUAUACACAGACUGUGAGACACAUCUGGAGAAGUAAGACAGAUUAAUAAGAGAUUCCUUACUGGCUUUUGAAUUUUGCUUCCAUUUGGCCCUUGAGACAUCAAGAGGUUAACUAACUUCAUCUGCCACCUGAUGGAUUCUUCAAUGACAAAGCCUAACCAAACUCAAUACCACAGGCUUGACUUCAAGGAUCAUGAUCAAGGUUCCCGUAGGCUGGACCCCAGUUGUAGCCUGCUGGGCAGGGCAAAAUGAUGCCAAAUGAUCCACCUGGAAAACCAGAAGGUACCCAGGAAUGAUGCUUCACCCAGGGAGUCAGGCCUGCCCAUGUUCAGUGAGCCACUGUCCCUGAGGGGAGAAAUCACUGGAUUCCCGAGGACGUCAUGGCAGAAUUCUUCUGUGAGACAGAAUGGCAAAGAGAUCACCACAGCUCCACCAAGCUGUGAGAAGAACCCACAGUGAUCAACAUAGCUUUAAGGAGCCUGUGAGACACAUGUGGGGGAGUAUGGCAGCAGUGCAAGUUAAGCUUACUCCAUGGGACAAGCAUUUAGUAAGCAAGGUUUGUUCAUUGAGGAACUCAAGAAGUCUUUCAAGAUAAGACUUAAAAUCAAACAUCUUAAUGCAUAGGAUUAUAGUUAUGAGACAGAGAAUCACUGGUCAGAUGAUCCUGUGUUUGCUUGUGUAUAUUUUGAUAGCCAGGAGACCUGAAAUAAAGCC